CCUACGGGAGGCAGCAGUGAGGAAUAUUGGUCAAUGGACGAGAGUCUGAACCAGCCAAGUAGCGUGAAGGAUGACUGCCCUAUGGGUUGUAAACUUCUUUUAUAUGGGAAUAAAAUGUUCCACGUUUGGGAUUUUGUAUGUACCAUAUGAAUAAGGAUCGGCUACCUCCGUGCCAGCAGCCGCGGUAAUACGGAGGAUCCGAGCGUUAUCCGGAUUUAUUGGGUUUAAAGGGAGCGUAGGUGGAUUGUUAAGUCAGUUGUGAAAGUUUGCGGCGCAACCGUAAAAUUGCAGUUGAAACUGGCAGUCUUGAGUACAGUAGAGGUGGGCGGAAUUCGUGGUGUAGCGGUGAAAUGCUUAGAUAGCACGAAGAACUCCGAUUGCGAAGGCAGUUCACUGGACUGCAACUGACACUGAGGCUCGAAAGUGUGGGUAUCAAACAGGAUUAGAUACCCGUGUAGUC
rnacentral:rRNA from 1 species